rnacentral:lncRNA from 1 species
GUUGGGUCUGGCUCUUGUAGUGGCAUCUGUAGUGGUACAUGUAGUGGUUCCCGUAGUGGCACCCAUAGUAAUAGUUAUAGUAUAAACCGGGACGAACGCGUGAUCGGUGUAUACGUUGGUUCCAACAUAGAAGAUAUAAGUUUAAACAUUGAUAGAAAUAUUAUUUUAAUAGUAAAUACUAAUUUUAUCAUAAAAGCAUAUAACAUAUAUCCAUACAUUUGUAAACACAGUUUUAAAAAAAGUUUAUUUAUUAUUGAUACAUUUAACACACUUACCAAUCCGUGUUUUUAUUAUAACUACAUAAUAUGGAAUAAACAAAAUAAUUUUUUUCUUGUAUCUUUUAAUUCAAAUAAUUAUUAUAUUUAUAACACGAAUGGUACUUUAUUUUACUAUAAAAAUGGUAAUGAUUAUAUGCAAUAUAAAGCGAGUGGAAAAAGUGAUAACGAGCACAAACCAGGUUGUAUAGAAGUUUUACAAGAGGGUAAAGACAUAAGUGACACAUUAAAUAAUAGUUCGAGUCAUGGUAUAAAUGGUGGGACUAUCAAUGAAAUUGUCAAUAACAAUACCAAUACCAAUACCAAUACCAAUACCAAUACCAAUACCAAUANNNNNNNNNNCAAUACCAAUACCAAUACCAAUACCAAUACCAAUACCAAUACCAAUGUCGCCACUAGUACUGGUACCGCUGUAACUAUCACUCGUGACUACAAUGAUUCCCUACCAAAGCAAUAUAUAAACAUAGCCUUUAUUUUCAACGAUUUUAAUUUAUGUAUUUACAACCGUCUUAAUAAUAAUAACGAUUCCUUUUAUAUCAUAGUAAAACAUUUUUUUUACUCAACUGACAUAUACAGUAGAAAUCUAAUAUUCCAUUUUAAUAGUAAUUAUUAUACGAAUGAGUUUUUUAAAAAAAUAUAUAUAGGUUUAAAUAAAAUACUUAUAUUUGAUAUAAAUAUAAAUAAUUACAAUUUGUUUGAUCGUGAAAAAAAUAAUGUAAAUAUAAAAGAAAUAAUUACACCUUUUAAAUUUAUUAAAAAAGCUUAUUUAAAUUUUAAUAACACAUAUAUUUUAAUUAUUUUUAAAGAAAUAUGUAUUUAUAAUAUAAAAAAAAAAACAUUUUCUUAUUUUGUCGAUGAAUAUUUAAAAUUUUUUUUUCAUAACUACCCAACUGGUUGGAUUUAUGACAAUAUUUUUUUUGUAACUUGUUUACACAAUAAAUAUGAUGAAUAUAAUUUUAAACAUUUUAAAAAUAAAAAAAAUUUUAAUUUAAAUAAAAAAAAUACUCUUUUUAAUCGAGAUAAUGAAAAGGAAGGAAAAUGGAACAAAUUCCGGUUUGAUAUGUUUAACAUGGAAUAUGGAAAUUCAGAGGUGAACCAUAUGUAUAUUGAGAAGCCUGACAGUUUGGAUUGGCCAGAUGAAUUUAUUAACUCAAAUAAAGAAAGUCUUGAUAAAUCAUACAUCAGACAGAGCAGCGAAAGAGUCACAGAAAAAAGUACUAAAAGUGGUGAAGAGAGAGAAGUAACAAACGGUAGUGAUUAUGAUAGUGAUUAUGAAAGUGAUUAUGAUAGUGAUUAUGANNNNNNNNNNAGUGAUUAUGAUAGUGAUUAUGAUAGUGAUUAUAACAGUGAUUAUGAUAGUGAUUAUAACAGUGAGUAUAACAGUGAAAAUAAUAAAGAGUACGAUAGCGAACAUAACAGCAGAAACAACAGCAGAAACAACAGCGGAAACAACAGUAGGAAAAACAGUGGAAAUAACAGUAGGCAAAACAGUGGAAAUAACAGUAGGNNNNNNNNNNAAAACAGUGGAAAUAACAGUAGGCAAAACAGUGGAAAUAACAGUAGGCAAAACAGCAGGCACAGCAGCAAACACAAUUACAGUGAUGUUGAUAAAACACAUACAUCUAAUGGAGCUGUAAAAAAUGAACGAAAAAAAAAGGAAGAAACUGUAUGGGAAGAUGAAGUAAUUUAUAACUACCUAUUUAAUUUUAAUCAUAAUGAAAAUGAUACUUAUUAUAAAUUUUUUGAAGAAUAUUUUGAUCGUAACAAAAGAAAUAUUUACACAAAACCUUUUUCUUUAUUUUACAAUCAUUUUUAUUUAAAAAAAUGUAAAAAUGUAUUUUUAAC